CGGAGCGUAGCGCAGCUUGGGAGCGCACCUGCCUCGGGCGCAGGGGGUCGCUGGUUCAAACCCAGCCGCUCCGA
rnacentral:tRNA from 1 species